UGUGUCGAGGCUGAGGACCCGGCGCGAGCAGCAGCCGGUGUCCCAGCUGAGCGCAGGCAGGCGUUCUGGCAGCCCGGCCCAGCCCACAUAAGGGCCCGCAGCACCAGGUGACGGCCGCGUAGGGCUGGGGCGACGCUUCGCUCGGUGGGGCCGCAGACGCCGUGGUGGGCGACCUGAAAAAUGUGCUCAGCACGAGUUGCCAGCAGAGUCCAGAAACGAACACGAGACCGGCCACGAAGGAAGUUCAGGGGGACCACAAGUGUGGGGGCGGGCGGCCCCCUGGGGGCGGGUGACGGCGCCGCGGUGGCGCCCUGCUGCCAGUCGUCGACGCGUGGCUGACGGAGGCCGGGAGCCGCGGUCGCAGAGUCCGGCGGUGGCGCGGUCAGACUGGAGAGUACGGUGCUGAGGCAGCUGCUGGUGCGCCCCUACAGUGUGCAGUCACCCCAGCUGCCCAGCACGGCCUGUCAGCCAGCAAGUGCGGCGUGUCGAGGCCGAAGACCCGGUGUGAGCAGCAGCUGGCAGCUCAGCCGGCCACAGCUGUUCUGGCAGAGUGACACAGCUGCCCCAGCCUCAGGCAGGCCACGCACGUGCACACAAAGCCUCACACACGCCAGGUGACGGCCACGUAAAGCUGGGCUGGUGCAGUGCUCGGUGAGCCCAAAGACGCCGUCAGAGUGAGUCGGCAGCUCCACGAGUCGCCAGCAGACUCCAGAAUCGACCUCGGAGGCAGCAGUGAAGAAAGUUCAGGAGACCACAAAUAUGGACGCCCUCCCAUAUGCGGGUGACGCUGGCAGUGGAUCACGUGUGGCUGGUGGACACGAGGCUCUUCCUGUGGCCAGG